rnacentral:rRNA from 1 species
GGCCUUCUGGGUUGUAAACUGCUUUUGUCAGGGGAUAAAAAGCUCGUGCGCGAGAAAUUGAAUGUACCUGGCGAAUAAGCCACGGCUAACUACGUGCCAGCAGCCGCGGUAAUACGUAGGUGGCAAGCGUUGUCCGGAUUUAUUGGGUUUAAAGGGUGCGUAGGCGGUCCUGUAAGUCAGUGGUGAAAUACGGCAGCUCAACUGUCGAGGUGCCAUUGAUACUGCGGGACUUGAGUGUUGAUGAGGUAGGCGGAAUUGACGGUGUAGCCGGUGAAAUGCUUAGAUAUCGUCAAGAACACCGAUAGCGAAGGCAGCUUACCAAGCAACAACUGACGCUGAAGCACGAAAGUGUGGGGAUCAAACAGGAUUAGAUACCCUGGUAGUCC